rnacentral:sRNA from 1 species
AGAGGAAGAUAGCCUAAAAGCGCAACAUCGUGUCGCAACGGCUAUCUGACCCAUAUCCUGUGG